GACGAACGCUGGCGGCAUGCCUAAUACAUGCAAGUCGAGCGAACAGAUGAAGUGCUUGCACUUCUGACGUUAGCGGCGAACGGGUGAGUAACACGUAAGGAAUCUACCUAUAAGCGGGGGAUAACAUUCGGAAACGGGUGCUAAUACCGCCUAAUAUCUUCUUCCGCAUGGAAGAAGAUUGAAAGACGGCUCUGCUGUCACUUAUAGAUGACCCGCGGUGCAUUAGCUAUUUGGUGAGGUAACGGCUCACCAAGGCCACGAUGCAUAGCCGCCCUGAGAGGGUGAUCGGCCACAUUGGGACUGAGACACGGCCCAAACUCCUACGGGAGGCAGCAGUAGGGAAUCUUCCGCAACGGACGAAAGUCUGACGGAGCAACGCCGCGUGAGUGAAGAAGGUUUUCGGAUCGUAAAACUCUGUUGUCAGAGAAGAACAAGUCGGAGAGUAACUGCUCCGGCCUUGACGGUAUCUGACCAGAAAGCCACGGCUAACUACGUGCCAGCCGCCGCCGUAA
rnacentral:rRNA from 1 species